UACGGAGGGAGCUAGCGUUGUUCGGAAUUACUGGGCGUAAAGCGCACGUAGGCGGCUAUUCAAGUCGGGGGUGAAAGCCCGGGGCUCAACCCCGGAACUGCCCUCGAAACUAGGUAGCUAGAAUCUUGGAGAGGCGAGUGGAAUUCCGAGUGUAGAGGUGAAAUUCGUAGAUAUUCGGAAGAACACCAGUGGCGAAGGCGACUCGCUGGACAAGUAUUGACGCUGAGGCGCGAAAGCGUGGGGAGCAAACAGG
rnacentral:rRNA from 1 species